CUUCCAGGCGUGCAAGCAGCUCGCUGUACUCGGUGGAUUGAAGGACGUCGCCCAGACGCUUAGGCUGAAGGACGCCGUGGCCAUUAUGCAGCACCACGAUGCCAUCACGGGAACCUCCAAGGCGGCCGUGGCACACGACUACGCCAGGCUACUCUCGGAGGGCAUUGCCCAGUGCGAAG